AUGCUUAAUGUUGACAUUACCCUAACUGCUUUGAGAAUAACUAUUGAAGUGUUCACUUGGACAGAUAGUGAAGAAGUGACUAAAGUAAUACCCUUUUAUGGUGCAUUGAUUCACCUUGCUGUUGCAACAAACCAGGCUGAGCUGAGGCAGUUUGUUAGAAAGGAUAUAUUUUCGUCUAUAACACAGGGCUUUUCUGUUGAGUUGAAUGUCGUUGUUAGUGCGGAGCUUAUUGGACUUUGUCGAGGAAUAUAUCUAUAUCUGUCAGACAAAGAUCGUGCACCUAAACAGUUUGGCUCUGGAGGCUUUGGUCAUGCACAGUUCAGAAAGUAA
rnacentral:rRNA from 1 species